CCUACGGGAGGCAGCAGUGAGGAAUAUUGGUCAAUGGACGAGAGUCUGAACCAGCCAAGUAGCGUGAAGGAUGACUGCCCUAUGGGUUGUAAACUUCUUUUAUAUGGGAAUAAAAUGUUCCACGUGUGGGAUUUUGUAUGUACCAUAUGAAUAAGGACCGGCUAACUCCGUGCCAGCAGCCGCGGUAAUACGGAGGAUCCGAGCGUUAUCCGGAUUUAUUGGGUUUAAAGGGAGCGUAGGUGGAUUGUUAAGUCAGUUGUGAAAGUUUGCGGCUCAACCGUAAAAUUGCAGUUGAAACUGGCAGUCUUGAGUACAGUAGAGGUGGGCGGAAUUCGUGGUGUAGCGGUGAAAUGCUUAGAUAUCACGAAGAACUCCGAUUGCGAAGGCAGUUCACUGGACUGCAACUGACACUGAGGCUCGAAAGUGUGGGUAUCAAACAGGAUUAGAUACCCCUGUAGUC
rnacentral:rRNA from 1 species